UUCGUUUCGCCAUCCCACCCAAUAAAUCAUUAAGAUUCAUUUCCAAUAGAAUCUUCUUUUUCUUUAUUCACGGGUUCCGUCGUUCCCAUUGCUUCUCGAUUAAUGGUUAGGUCUGAAUUCUCCAACGGAGCCCUUAAUGAAAUUUUUUCUUAAGUCAAUUUUCUCAGUUUUUAUUGGCUCGGGGCUCUUGAUUUUUUUUGUUCUAUGAGCGGAUUCAUCUAGUUAGGGAUGAAUCAUUAUUGAUGCUAUAUUACACUGUUUUUUAUGAGAUGACUUACAGACCUUACAUAUUGGAAUCUUAUAUCAUUGAUAUUUU
rnacentral:lncRNA from 1 species